CCUACGUGAGGCAGCAGUGGGGAAUAUUGGGCAAUGGGCGCACGCCUGACCCAGCAACGCCGCGUGAAGGAAGAAGGCUUUCGGGUUGUAAACUUCUUUUCUCAGGGACGAAGAAAGUGACGGUACCUGAGGAAUAAGCCACGGCUAACUACGUGCCAGCAGCCGCGGUAAUACGUAGGUGGCACGAGUUAUCCGGAUUUAUUGGGUGUAAAGGGCGUGUAGGCGGGAGCGCAAGUCAGAUGUGAAAACUCAGGGCUCAACCCUGAGCCUGCAUUUGAAACUGUGUUUCUUGAGUGCUGGAGAGGCAAUCGGAAUUCCGUGUGUAGCGGUGAAAUGCGUAGAGAUACGGAGGAACACCAGUGGCGAAGGCGGAUUGCUGGACAGUAACUGACGCUGAGGCGCGAAAGCGUGGGGAGCAAACAGGAUUAGAUACCCCUGUAGUC
rnacentral:rRNA from 1 species